GAUGAACGCUGGCGGCGUGCUUAACACAUGCAAGUCGAACGGAAAGGCUCCUGCUUGCAGGGGUACUCGAGUGGCGAACGGGUGAGUAACACGUGGGUGAUCUGCCCUGCACUUCGGGAUAAGCCUGGGAAACUGGGUCCAAUACCGGAUAGGACCACAUUUUGGAUGGUGUGGUGGAAAGUUUUUCGGUGUGGGAUGAGCUCGCGGCCUAUCAGCUUGUUGGUGGGGUAAUGGCCUACCAAGGCGUCGACGGGUAGCCGGCCUGAGAGGGUGUACGGCCACAUUGGGACUGAGAUACGGCCCAGACUCCUACGGGAGGCAGCAGUGGGGAAUAUUGCACAAUGGGCGCAAGCCUGAUGCAGCGACGCCGCGUGGGGGAUGACGGCCUUCGGGUUGUAAACUCCUUUCGCUAGGGACGAAGCGCAAGUGACGGUACCUGGAGAAGAAGCACCGGCUAACUACGUG
rnacentral:rRNA from 1 species